CGGGCGUCGGGAUCCCAGCUGGGGUUAGGCUACUGAAGCCUCUCCCUUUUCGGAGUCCACGCCUUUAAGGUGUUAGCCCGCUUCUCGACUGGAGUCUACAGGGAUUACUCAUGUUCUGGGAUUUGAUUGCAGGCUGAUUUCCUCUGCACUUUCAUACACAAUGCAUCCAAGAACUGAUCUGCUGGAACAGGGACUUGUGAGAGCUGUCACAGAAUGACACAGAAUGGUGAAAGUGCAAAGAUUUCAAAGCAAUGACUACCAGGUUGGUUUGUUUCUUUUUUAAUAAAAAUUCUUUUUAGAAAGAAGAACCUCAGUGAAGUAGCAGUGACUGAAAGAGUAAAAAACAUAAAACUUAAAAAAAAAGAUAUUCCUUCAGACAGUUCUUAUGCCAGUCUUUAAACACACAAAUAGGCAGCAUAGCACAAUCAGAAUCAAAUGAGGGAAGCUCAUGUAGCACGUGUCUAUUCUAGUCUCUCGUCUUUCCUCAUUAACACCUUCUCAGCACAAAAACUGAUUAAAAGCCAAGAAACAAUAUAUCUUAAAAAUUGUUCACAGGCUCAUUUUUUUGUACGUUUAGGACUAAUGGUGCAAUCCUUCAUUUACAAUGAUCAUAUAAACAGAACUUCUGAAUUCACUGAGUCUAUUCAUAUGAUUUGGGGUUAGCCUGCUAUUAUUCUAACGUGUUAGAGCUAACACCAUUCCUUAUCUUUCUACAGGUUCUUUAGACUCUAGGGUUUGGC